rnacentral:lncRNA from 1 species
UUUUGUUUUUCCAAUAAGGAUGGACUUUAUAUGAUAAUACCAUUCUCAUUCUUCACAUCCACGUCAAAUCAGCAAGGCCUUUGAAGAUCCGGAAUUAAGAUUCAUCACUUAUACCACUGGAGGGUGAAGCUAGCUGCUAGGCUACAUUACCUGAUGAUUUUCAUUUUACUGUUUGUCUUUUUCUUCUUCUUUUUUUGAUUUGCACCGGGUGUCCAAGUCUCUAAGAGCCCCGACUAAUCCCGGGGUGCACAGGCCUUCGGCAAGGAGUUUCCCGCAAGUGCACCACGGUUAAUUCAGGUUUUACCCAGUCCGAUGGCCCUCAGAAAUUGCUAGACGGGAUGCACAGGCCUUCGGCAAGGAGUUUCCCGCAAGUGCACCACGGUUAAUUCAGGUUUUACCCAGUCCGAUGACCCUCAGAAAUUGUUUGCACCCAGUGAUUUCGAACUUGAGACCUUGAAAGGGAGCAAACCACAAGGCUCAAGUCAAUUGCCACCAGGCCAACCCCUGAGGGUUUUUUUACUGUUUGUCUUUCUAGAUUGUUUUUGGUAGUCUGGGGUUUCAAUUUAGGUCAGUGCAUUCUUUCUGAAAUGGAAGGUUGUCUAUGACUUUGAUCAGCUAACAGGGUUUUUACCCAGAGGAGUAGGGUUUGACUUGAGUUUGUAAGGGGAAAAGGAGA